AAAGUAUGCAUUCUCAAAUGAGAUGGUCUGUUUUCUAUUGGGAAUAACGGCUAAAUAGACCCUCGAAUGGGUUUCGCUAUCUGUGGCAUGUCUCGAAACAUAAUGAAAAAUCUGUUACAUGCCCCGAAACGUAAUGUAAAAAUCUGCAUUUUAAAAUGAGAUAUAUUCAGCAGGUUUGUUCUGUUGGGUUUAUGGCUAAAGAGACCUUGGAAUGGGAACACUAUCUGCUACAUAUCCCGAAACAUAAUGAAACACCUGUAUUCUCAAAUGAGAUGCAGUUUGUUCUAUUGGGAAGGCUGGCUAAACGAACACUGGAAUAGGAACGAUAUCUGUUGAAUGUCCCAAAGCAUAAUGGAAAACUAUGCAUUCUCAAAUGUGAUGGUAUGUUCUAUUGGGAAUAAUGGUUAAAGAGACCCUAGAAUGAAAACACUAUCUGUUACGUGUCCUGAAACAUAAUGAAACACUUGUAUUCUCAAAUGAGGUGCAAAUACAUAUUUGUUCUAUUGGGAAUGAUGGCUAAACAGACAUUGGAAUGGGAGAGUUUUUGUUAAAUGUCCCGAAACAUAAUGCAAAAGUAUGCAUUCUCAAAUGGGGUCUUUUCUAUUUGGAAAUUGGAAUAAUGGCUAAAGUGACCCUGGAAUGGAAAUCUGUUUACAUGUCCCGAAACAUAAUGUUAAAAUCUCCAUUCGCAAGUGAGAUGCAAGCAGAUGGUAUGUUCUAGUACGAAUAAUAACUAAACAGACGUGGAAUGGGAACACUAUCUAUUACAUAUCCCGAAACAUAAUUAAAGAAAUCUGUAUUUUCCAAUGAGAUACAAAUACAUGGUAUGUUCUGUUGGGAAUAAUGGCUAAGCAGACCUCGGAAUGGGAAUACCAUCUGUUACAUUCCCCGAAACAUAAAACCAAAAAACUGGAAGUGGUACCAUCAUCAUCACCAUCAUUGGCAUCAUGCAAUUACUCUUGUAAUUCCUUGAUUGAAUAUAAUUCAAGAUACAUUCUUCCUUUCAAUUGAUCAAAGCUCUGUUGUACAGGUGAACCAUGAGAUCCAGAGACACUGACAUCACAAUUACAGCUGAAAAGCAUUUGGUUGUGGAUUGUUACUGGGGACACUAGUUUCGCUUACCAAUUACAUGUCGCUGCCCUUGAAGGUAAAGUUUUAUUUGGAGAUGCUCUUUGAACUUUGUUGGGUUGUGAUCGAUAUUAGUAGACAAACAUUUCUUGCAUAUUCUUGAAGACUGCUAGUGUGAUUGUUGCCUGUGUUUUUAGUUGGAUUUACCUUUUUGAUUGAUCAUAAGAAUGGCUUUAAACUCA